GAGACACCUUUCCUGGGAAGAGAGCUGACAAACCUUCUAUGGUAAGGGGUGAACAUCCUUGGGAAGCCACAGAGAGCAAGGCGCAGUUUUUCAUUGAUCACCACCUUCAAGAUGCUCCCAGAAUCGUGCUGUCUAGGAAGCCAUUUAAACUGGUGAGAAGCCAUCCUCUCUUGAAUGGGGGCUCCCACUGUACAUCUGGCACCCACUUCACAGAUUCUGGGGGAAGUCGACACCAGCACUGCCGAGCUGUGUGACCUUGAGCAAGACAGUUAGCCUCUCUGAACCUCAGUGUCCUUCUCUGUAGGCUGGAGAUUGAUAUACCUUCAUUAUCGGGGUAUGAGAGUGUUAUAAAUCCAUGAACUGGAAGAUGCUUUCUUAUAACUCAGAGAAAAGAGAUGAAAAUGAAUCAAAGAACAGGAAGGAGACAAGCUCAGGAGAGUCACCCUAAGAAGGACGUGUGGAAGACUUGACUGAUUGGAGGAUCAAAAUGUGUCGGGGGAAGGUGUACAAGGAGGAGUAAGGACACAGAUGUCCUGACUUCACACAGUGGGGGAUUAGAAGCCACCAUCAAAUACAGAUGAAACAGGAAUAAAAGUAGUAGUACAUUACUUAAGCUUUAAAAGGGUAAGACUCCUGGGAAUUUGGAAGCUGAGACUUGAGGAGCAGAGGCAUCUAGCUGUGUAAACACAGAGUUUCAGUGGCAGCACCCUAAAUGCUUAGCUGAUAGAUCCGGAAUUAAAUACAGACCUAGAAACUGGAGUUGGAAAACUUCCUGGCAGCACUCCUUCCCUGCCAUCCCGGUGAUCCCCUUCUGGAUGGAGGGCGUGGAGCUCAGCACAUUCACGUCUGCAGGCGUUAUACUUAUAACUUUACAGGGAUUAUCUAAUUAAUUACUGAAACAACAUCACGAUUUCCAUUUCGCAAGUGGGGAACCCUGUCCAGAGAACUUAUUUCUCAGAGAACCAAGUGUUAAGGAAUGUCAGGGAAGGAAGAAGGCAGCCAGCCAGGAAGGGGAGGUCCUGGCCUGAGCACGCCAGGCAUAGAGGGAUAGAGGGUAGCGAGGAAACUGCACCUGUCUCCAAUCCUCGACCCCGGCCCCGAAACACGACAUUGGCUGAAACAGAUUAAAAGCAUAAAAUGGCACAAAGAAAUGGGAGAAGGUUGGCCUCUGGUUGGGCAAACAUGAGGGCAUGAAGAUGUAUAGUGUCCCACACGGGAGGAAGCCCUUGCCGGGCCCCUCAGGAUUUAUAACAAGCUCACCUGAAGGAGAAACUUCAGGGGCACUUACACCAUCAGAUACCUAGAAAGGAGCUGUCAUUUCCUCACUGAAGAGUUUGCAAGCAGAUGGAAAAUGUGUGUCUGGAUCAUCUUGUGGCCCGAAUGGGGAGAAAAGAUGCAGUAUUCCAAAGCAGGAGAUUCACUGAAAGAGAUGUUUAAGAAGUUGCUGAUGAAGAGAAGUUCAGGAUUCACAGCUCCAUCCAAAGGGAAUAGCCACUUUUCUCAUUUUGAGAUAUGACUACUAACAAGUAUUAUUCUGCAUCUUCAGCCAGGCUGUGGAAGGCCCCAUUCUUUCUGUAACACAGAUGUUCAAUUGGAA